rnacentral:tRNA from 1 species
GCCACCGUCGCAUAAUCCGGUAUUGCGCAGGAUUGCUAAUUCUGUUCCGUAAGGAAUUCCCGGUUCAAAUCCGGGCGGUGGCG